rnacentral:rRNA from 1 species
CGUAGGUGACGAGCGUUAUCCGGAUUUACUGGGCGUAAAGCGCUUGUAGGUGGCUUUGUAAGUUGGGCGUGAAACUACUGGGCUUAACCCAGAGACGCCGUCCAAUACUGCGAGGCUAGAGGAUGUCAGAGGAAGGUGGAAUUCCUGGUGUAGUGGUGAAAUGCGUAGAUAUCAGGAGGAACACCCCGUGGCGAAGGCGGCCUUCUGGGGGCAUUCCUGACACUGAGAAAGCGAAAGCUAGGGGGAGCAAACAGGAUU